rnacentral:rRNA from 1 species
GGAUAAUACUCCAUAGGCUACGGAAGCUGGAAUGCUCUGUAACCGAAAGUUCCGGCGCCCUAGGAUGGGUCUGCGGCCGAUUAGGUUGUUGUUGGGGUAACGGCCCAACAAGCCGAUCAUCGGUACGGGUUGUGGGAGCAAGAGCCCGGAGAUGGAUUCUGAGACAUGAAUCCAGGCCCUACGGGGCGCAGCAGGCGCGAAAACUUUACAAUGCGGGAAACCGUGAUAAGGGGACCCCGAGUGCCUGUACACGCAGGCUGUUCAGGUGUUUAAAACGCAUCUGGAGAAAGGGCCGGGCAAGACCGGUGCCAGCCGCCGCGGUAAUACCGGCGGCUCGAGUGGUGGCCACUAUUACUGGGCUUAAAGCGUCCGUAGCCGGGUUGUUAGGUCUCCUGGGAAAUCCAACGGCUCAACCGUUGGGCGUUCAGGGGAUACUGGCAAUCUAGGGAUCGGGGGAGGUGAGAGGUACUCUAGGGGUAGGAGUGAAAUCCUGUAAUCCUUGGGGGACCACCUGUGGCGAAGGCGUCUCACCAGAACGACUCCGACGGUGAGGGACGAAAGCUGGGGGAGCAAACCGGAUUAGAUACCCGGGUAGUCCCAGCUGUAAACGAUGCGCGUUAGGUGUAUCGGUGACUACGAGUUACCGAGGUGCCGAAGGGAAACCGUGAAACGUGCCGCCUGGGAAGUACGGUCGCAAGGCUGAAACUUAAAGGAAUUGGCGGGGG